GUCUAUAGCCAUACCACCCUGAAUGUGCCUGAUCUCGUCUGACCUUGAAAGUUAAGCAGGGUCAGGCCUGGUUAGUACUUGGACGGGGGAUCUCCUCUAACCUAGCAUUGUAUUUG
rnacentral:rRNA from 1 species